CUCGCUGGGCGUCUCUUGCUCGCUCCCGACAGCCGCGGUGACCAGGCCGCUGAGAGCCGGCGGUGCAGCGCAUCCUCAUUGGUGGAAGCUGGAGGCAGGAGCCAGAGGCGGGUAUUGAACCCAGCUGUUCCAGUAUGAGAUUUGGGCAAGAGACCUAACAAUUAGAUGAUUGCAAUGGAAGCAAAAACUGACUUCAGCCUACUUCACCCCAGUGAGUUUGCUGGACUCUCCAAAUCCUGUUUGGCUAAUGGUGAGGUCACUCCCAGAUACCACUGGGAGUGUCUUGGAAGAUCACUCACUCAGAACCACCCAGUACUGAAGGGAAGUGGUGACAGGCUGGCCAAGCGGCACAGAGACAAAGCCAGACACAUUCAGUCUUUGUUUCAGUGAGAUAAGGGGAGACCACUGUACGCCAUCGAGAAAACGAAAGGACAGUACAAACGUUGGUUGAGGGUGGCGGAGCAAGCCCACCGGCAGAGCAAGAGAUGCUGACGUUGGUAGCCAAUUAAGGCCCAGAGGUGUGUGGCGAAGGCACCGAUAGUACAGCUCCACAGUCCCAGACUCAGCAGGUUGGGCCUUCUGGCCCCAAAAUGCGAAGACAGUGUUAUGAAAACAGAUGGAAAAACCAAACCUUGUUCUUCUCCAGAUUCCAAGCCCCAGAGUCUCUAUCACACGAAUCAGAAAUGGUGCUGGCGUCAUGGUGUAGUGAGAAAAGCUGCUGCCUGUGAUGCUGGCAUUCCAUUUGGGCACCGAUUUGAAUCCCAGCUGCUCCACUUCUGAUCAAGCUCCCUACUAAUGCGCCUGAGAAAGCAGAGAAAGAUGACCCAAGUGCUUGGGCCCCUGCCACCCUCGUGGGAGACCCAGAAGAAGCUCCUGGUUCCUGGUUUCAGCCUGGCCCAGCAGCCAUUUGGGAAGCGAACCAGCAGAUUGGAAGAUCUCUUUCUCUUUCUGUCUCCCCACCCCUCUGUAACUGCCUUUCAAAUAAAUAAAUAAAUAAUUUAAAAAACAC